UACGGAGGGUGCAAGCGUUGUCCGGAUUCACUGGGUGUAAAGGGCGUGUAGGCGGGAUGAUGUGUCGGGAGUGAAAUCGCACGGCUUAACCGUGUCAACUGCUUCCGAAACUGUUAUUCUUGAAUGCAGCAGAGGUAGAUGGAAUUCCAGGUGUAGCGGUGGAAUGCGUAGAUAUCUGGAAGAACACCGGAGGCGAAGGCGGUCUACUGGGCUGUGAUUGACGCUGAGGCGCGAAAGUGCGGGGAGCAAACAGG
rnacentral:rRNA from 1 species